rnacentral:snRNA from 1 species
GUAUGUGAGAUCAAUCUGGCUUCAACAUCUACCACCCUAUUGAUAGCCCAGUUUGAUUCAACUAAUCUGGCUGGCUAGGAGGGUGUCCCUUUCUUCUCUCACCUUUGUGUGUGUGUGCCUCCUGAGGCUGCACACUCAGUCAAAGAGGGUAACCUUCCCUGAAUAAAGACAGACCAGUGUUCUGUCAAGGAUAUAUGAGUAGCUACACUCCCCUGCUAGAACCUCCAAACAAGCUCUCUUUGGAUGAGUAUGUUUGAUUCCUUAGGAUGUAUUUUCCAAGAGAGGAAUUUAUGGGUCAUAGGGUAGGUCCAUUUCUACUUUUCUGA